AUUGAACGCUGGCGGCAGGCCUAACACAUGCAAGUCGAACGAGUGGCGGACGGGUGUGUAAUGUCUGGGAAACUGCCUGAUGGAGGGGGUUACCUACUGGAAACGGUAGCUAAUACCGCCUACCAUCAGCUGUGCCCAGAUGGGUUUCGCUAGUUGGUGGGGUAACGGCUCACCACGGCGACGAUCCCUAGCUGGUCGGGAAGGAUGACCAGCAAAACUGGAACGGAGACACGGUCCAGACUCGUACGGGAGGCAGCAGUGGGGAAUAUUGCAAAAUGGGCGCAAGCCUGAUGCAGCCAUGCCGCGUGUAGGAAGAAGGCCUUCGGGUUGUAAAGUACUUUCAGCGGGGAGGCGUUACCCGCAGAGGAAGCACCGGCUAACUCCGUGCCAGCCGCCGCGGUAAUAC
rnacentral:rRNA from 1 species